CCUACGGGUGGCAGCAGUGGGGAAUAUUGCACAAUGGGGGAAACCCUGAUGCAGCGACGCCGCGUGAGUGAAGAAGUAUUUCGGGAUGUAAAGCUCUAUCAGCAGGGAAGAAAAUGACGGUACCUGAUUAUGAAGCCCCGGCUAACUACGUGCCAGCAGCCGCGGUAAUACGUAGGGGGCAAGCGUUAUCCGGAUUUACUGGGUGUAAAGGGAGCGUAGACGGCAGCACAAGUCAGGAGUGAAAUGUCGGGGCUUAACCCCGGAACUGCUUUGGAAACUGGGCAGCUAGAGUGCAGGAGAGGUAAGUGGAAUUCCUGGUGUAGCGGUGAAAUGCGUAGAUAUUAGGAAGAACACCGGUGGCGAAGGCGGCUUACUGGACUGUAACUGACGUUGAGGCUCGAAAGCGUGGGGAGCAAACAGGAUUAGAUACCCCAGUAGUC
rnacentral:rRNA from 1 species